rnacentral:rRNA from 1 species
GUGCCAGCAGCCGCGGUAAGACGAACCGUGCGAACGUUGUUCGGAAUCACUGGGCUUAAAGGGCGCGUAGGCGGCCUGCCAAGUCAGGGGUGAAAGCCCCCAGCUCAACUGGGGAAGUGCCUUUGAUACUGGCGGGCUCGAGCGAGGCAGGGGUCGUGGGAACUUCCGGUGGAGCGGUGAAAUGCGUUGAUAUCGGAAGGAACGCCGGUGGCGAAAGCGCACGACUGGUCCUCUUCUGACGCUGAGGCGCGAAAGCCAGGGGAGCAAACGGGAUUAGAUACCCCCGUAGUCC